AAGGGUCCGUAAAACGGUAGAUUAAGCGUAAUAUUUAAAAAUAAAAAUCGAACUAAUCUACUAGAGUCUUAUAGAAGAACAGAGGAAUUGCAAGAGUAAGGAUGAAAUCUAUUGAUCUUUGUAGGACCGCCAAUGGCGAAGGCAUCGUUCUAGGUAAAGACUGACGUUGAGGGACGUAGGCGUUGGGAGCGAAAAGGAUUAGAUACCCCUGUAGUCAACGCAGUAAACGAUGAGUGCUUAAGAUUAGUAAAAAAAAAAAAAUUAGUCUCAAAAUGAAGAUGUUAAGCACUUCACCUGGGGAGUACUGUCGCAAGGCUGAAACCCAAAACAUUAGACGGUCACGGAAACCAGCAGUGAAGCAUGUUAUUUAAUACGAUGAUCCGCGUACAACCUUACCCUUUCUUGAAUGUCCUCAUCUUUAAAAGGAUGAGGCCUUGUAAAUAGGAGAGAAAAAAACAAGCAGGAAAAAAAGAAAAAAAAUAAAAAAAAUAUUAUAUAUUUUUUUUAUUUUUUUUUUUUUUUUUUUGCAUUUUUUUUUUACCCUUAUUUUUGGUAAAAAAACCCCGGGGGUGCCCGGGGGUUUUCCCUUUUGGUUGGGGGGAAUCCCGGUUUUUUCCCCAAAAAAAAAAAACCCCUUUUUUUUUAAAUAAAAAAAAAAAAAAAAAGGGGAAAAAAAAAAAAAAUUAAAAAAAAAAAUAAUUUUUUUUUUUAUUUUUUUUUUUUUUCAAACUUUUUUUUUUCAUUAAGAUAACCCUUGGAAAACGGGGAUAUAAUGGGGGUUAAGACAAGUCGUCCUGGCCUUUAUGAAAGGGGCUAUAGACGUGCCCCAAGAGCUUUUACAAUGGGAUGCUAAAACGUGAGUUAUCGCUAAACCUAAAAGAAAAAAAAAAAAUUAUUAUAAAAAAAAAAAUUUUUUUUUUGCUAUGUUCGGAUUAGAGUCUGCAACUCGACUCUAUGAAGCAGGAAUUGCUAGUAAUCGUAA
rnacentral:rRNA from 1 species